rnacentral:rRNA from 1 species
UGGCCCACUGAUUGAACGUGCUUGCACGGACUUGACGUUGGUUUACCAGCGAGUGGCGGACGGGUGAGUAACACGUAGGUAACCUGCCCCAAAGCGGGGGAUAACAUUUGGAAACAGAUGCUAAUACCGCAUAACAAUUUGAAUCGCAUGAUUCAAAUUUAAAAGAUGGCUUCGGCUAUCACUUUGGGAUGGACCUGCGGCGCAUUAGCUUGUUGGUAGGGUAACGGCCUACCAAGGCUGUGAUGCGUAGCCGAGUUGAGAGACUGAUCGGCCACAAUGGAACUGAGACACGGUCCAUACUCCUACGGGAGGCAGCAGUAGGGAAUCUUCCACAAUGGGCGCAAGCCUGAUGGAGCAACACCGCGUGAGUGAAGAAGGGUUUCGGCUCGUAAAGCUCUGUUGUUAGAGAAGAACGUGCGUGAGAGCAACUGUUCACGCAGUGACGGUAUCUAACCAGAAAGUCACGGCUAACUACGUGCCAGCAGCCGCGGUAAUACGUAGGUGGCAAGCGUUAUCCGGAUUUAUUGGGCGUAAAGCGAGCGCAGGCGGUUUGAUAAGUCUGAUGUGAAAGCCUUUGGCUUAACCAAAGAAGUGCAUCGGAAACUGUCAGACUUGAGUGCAGAAGAGGACAGUGGAACUCCAUGGGUAG